rnacentral:rRNA from 1 species
GUUAAAAAGCUCGUAGUUGGAUUUCUGUGGGGACGGAGCGGCCGGCCGCAACUCGCGGUUCGAGCUAGCGCUUUCCCUACAUCCUGCCGCGAACCGUGCUACCAUUAGUUUGGUGGCGCCGGGGAUCGGCUCGUUUACUUUGAGAAAAAUAGAGUGUUCAAAGCAGGCCACACGCCUUGAAUAAGUUAGCAUGGAAUAAUAAUAAAGGACUUCGGUUCUAUUUCGUUGGUGUUCGGGACUGAAGUAAUGAUUGAUAGGGACAGUUGGGGCGGUCAGUAUUCCAAAGCGAGAGGUGAAAUUCUUAGACCUUCGGAAGACUAACAGCUGCGAAAGCGUUCCGCAAGGAUGUUCCCUUUGAUCAAGAACGAAAGUUGGGGGAUCGAAGACGAUCAGAUACCGUCGUAGUCUCAACUAUAAACUAUACCAGCUAGGGAUCGGCCAACGUUAAAUUAUUCGACUUGGUCGGCACCUUAUGAGAAAUCAAAGCAUCUGGGUUCCGGGGGGAGUAUGGUCGCAAGGCUGAAAACUUAAAGGAAUUGACGGAAGGGCACCACCAGCCGUGGAGCCUGUGGCUUAAUUUGACUCAACACGGGAAAACUUACCAGGUCCAGACAUAGUAAAGAUUGACAGAUUGAUAGCUCUUUCUUGAUUCUGU